GAUGAACGCUGGCGGCGUGCCUAAUACAUGCAAGUCGAGCGAAUGGAUUAAGAGCUUGCUCUUAUGAAGUUAGCGGCGGACGGGUGAGUAACACGUGGGUAACCUGCCCAUAAGACUGGGAUAACUCCGGGAAACCGGGGCUAAUACCGGAUAACAUUUUGAACCGCAUGGUUCGAAAUUGAAAGGCGGCUUCGGCUGUCACUUAUGGAUGGACCCGCGUCGCAUUAGCUAGUUGGUGAGGUAACGGCUCACCAAGGCAACGAUGCGUAGCCGACCUGAGAGGGUGAUCGGCCACACGGGGACUGAGACACGUCCCAGACUCCUACGGGAGGCAGCAGUAGGGAAUCUGCCGCAAUGGACGAAAGUCUGACGGAGCAACGCCGCGUGAGUGAUGAAGGCUUUCGGGUCGUAAAACUCUGUUGUUAGGGAAGAACAAGUGCUAGUUGAAUAAGCUGGCACCUUGACGGUACCUAACCAGAAAGCCACGGCUAACUACGUGCCAGCCGCCGCCGUAA
rnacentral:rRNA from 1 species